rnacentral:rRNA from 1 species
UGAACGCUGGCUGUGUGCCUAAUACAUGCAUGUCGAGCGAGGUUCUUUUGAACCUAGCGGCGAAUGGGUGAGUAACACGUGCUUAAUCUACCCUUUAGAUUGGAAUACCCAAUGGAAACAUUGGCUAAUGCCGGAUACGCAUGGAACCGCAUGGUUCCGUUGUGAAAGGAGCCUCAAAGCUCCGCUAGAGGAUGAGGGUGCGGAACAUUAGUUAGUUGGUAGGGUAAUGGCCUACCAAGACUAUGAUGUUUAGCCGGGUCGAGAGACUGAACGGCCACAUUGGGACUGAGAUACGGCCCAAACUCCUACGGGAGGCAGCAGUAGGGAAUAUUCCACAAUGAGCGAAAGCUUGAUGGAGCGACACAGCGUGCACGAUGAAGGUCUUCGGAUUGUAAAGUGCUGUUAUAGGGAAAGAACACUUGGUUGAGGAAAUGCUUCCAAGCUGACGGUACCCUGUCAGAAAGCGAUGGCUAACUAUGUGCCAGCAGCCGCGGUAAUACAUAGGUCGCAAGCGUUAUCCGGAAUUAUUGGGCGUAAAGCGUUCGUAGGCUGUUUAUUAAGUCUGGAGUUAAAUCCCAGGGCUCAACCCUGGCUCGCUUUGGAUACUGGUAAACUAGAGUUAGAUAGAGGUAAGCGGAAUUCCAUGUGAAGCGGUGAAAUGCGUAGAUAUAUGGAAGAACACCAAAGGCGAAGGCAGCUUACUGGGUCUAUACUGACGCUGAGGGACGAAAGCGUGGGGAGCAAACAGGAUUAGAUACCCUGGUAGUCCACGCCGUAAACGAUGAUCAUUAGUCGGUGGAGAGUUCACUGACGCAGCUAACGCAUUAAAUGAUCCGCCUGAGUAGUAUGCUCGCAAGAGUGAAACUUAAAGGAAUUGACGGGGACCCGCACAAGCGGUGGAGCAUGUGGUUUAAUUUGAAGAUACGCGGAGAACCUUACCCACUCUUGACAUCCUUCGCAAUGCUAUAGAGAUAUAGCGGAGGUUAACGGAGUGACAGAUGGUGCAUGGUUGUCGUCAGCUCGUGUCGUGAGAUGUUUGGUCAAGUCCUGCAACGAGCGCAACCCCUAUCUUUAGUUACUAACGAGUCAUGUCGAGGACUCUAGAGAUACUGCCUGGGUAACCGGGAGGAAGGUGGGGAUGACGUCAAAUCAUCAUGCCUCUUACGAGUGGGGCAACACACGUGCUACAAUGGUCGGUACAAAGAGAAGCAAUAUGGCGACAUGGAGCAAAUCUCAAAAAGCCGAUCUCAGUUCGGAUUGGAGUCUGCAAUUCGACUCCAUGAAGUCGGAAUCGCUAGUAAUCGCAGAUCAGCUACGCUGCGGUGAAUACGUUCUCGGGUCUUGUACACACCGCCCGUCACACCAUGGGAGCUGGUAAUACCCAAAGUCGGUUAGCUAACCUCGGAGGCGACCGCCUAAGGUAGGACUGGUGACUGGGGUGA